GACGAACGCUGGCGGCGUGCUUAACACAUGCAAGUCGAACGGUAAGGCCCUGCUUUUGUGGGGUUCUCGAUUGGCGAACGGGUGAGUAACACGUGAGUAACCUGCCCUUGACUUUGGGAUAACUUCAGGAAACUGGGGCUAAUACCGGAUAGGAGCUCCUGCUUCAUGGUGGGGGUUGGAAAGUUUCGGCUGGUGGGGAUGGACUCGCGGCUUAUCAGCUUGUUGGUGGGGUAGGGGCUUACCAAGGCUUUGACGGGUAGCCGGCCUGUGAGGGUGACCGGCAACAUUGGGCCUGAGAUACGGACCAGACUCCAACGGGAGGCAGCAGUGGGGAACAUUGCACAAUGGGCGGACGUCUGAUGAAGAAACGCCGCGUGCGGGAUGACGGCCUUCGGGUUGUAAACAGCAUCAGCCUAUGACGAAGCGUGAGUGACGGUAACGGAUAAAGAAGCACCGGCUAACUACGUG
rnacentral:rRNA from 1 species